GAUGAACGCUGGCGGCGUGCUUAACACAUGCAAGUCGAACGGUGAACGAGGGAGCUUGCUCCCUCCGGAUCAGUGGCGAACGGGUGAGUAACACGUGAGCAAUCUGCCCUGGACUCUGGGAUAAGCGUUGGAAACGAUGUCUAAUACCGGAUACGAGGCGUGGGGGCAUCCCCAACGCCUGGAAAGAACUUCGGUCCAGGAUGAGCUCGCGGCCUAUCAGGUAGUUGGUGAGGUAACGGCUCACCAAGCCUACGACGGGUAGCCGGCCUGAGAGGGUGACCGGCCACACUGGGACUGAGCCACGGCCCGGACUCCUACGGGAGGCAGCAGUGGGGAAUAUUGCACAAUGGGCGCAAGCCUGAUGCAGCAACGCCGCGUGAGGGACGACGGCCUUCGGGUUGUAAACCUCUUUUAGCAGGGAAGAAGCGAAAGUGACGGUACCUGCAGAAAAAGCACCGGCUAACUACGUGCCAGCAGCCGCCGUAAGAC
rnacentral:rRNA from 1 species